CCUACGGGUGGCUGCAGUCGAGAAUCAUUCACAAUGGGGGAAACCCUGAUGCUGCGACGCCGCGUGGGGGAAUGAAGGUCUUCGGAUUGUAAACCCUUUUCAUGUGGGAGCAAAUUAACAAGAUAGUACCACAAGAGGAAGAGACGGCUAACUCUGUGCCAGCAGGCGCGGUAAUACAGAGGUCCCAAGCGUUGUUCGGAAUCACUGGGCGUAAGGCGUGCGUAGGCUGUUUCGUAAGUCGUGUGUGAAAGGCGCGGGCUCAAGCCGCGGACGGAACAUGAUACUGCGAGACUAGAGUGAGGGAGAGGGAACCGGAAUUCUCGGUGUAGCAGUGAAAUGCGUAGAUAUCGGGAGGAACACUCGUGGCGAAGGCGGGUUCCUGGACAUUAACUGACGCUGAGGCACGAAGGCCAGGGGAGCGAAAGGGAUUAGAUACCCUGGUAGUC
rnacentral:rRNA from 1 species